CAAUAUACAUUACGUGUGACACCCGACCUAGUUUCACACACAGCCGACAUGGGCAUGCUGUACACCCGUCUCAUCCUCACAGUUGGAGCUCUCUUGGUGGACAUAUGUCACAAACACGUGGUUACUGCCCAAAACUAUCAGCUGAUGUCAUCAUGUGGGGGAUCUGUGCAGGCAGGGGGAAGCUGUACCCUGAUGUGUUACACAGGAGAAGCUUCACAUACAACUAUAGUGUGGCAGAAUGGAACUACAUUAUUCAGAGUAAGCCAGGGUAGCUGCAGCUCCACCUCCCCUUCUCUCCCAACUGACUACAUCACCUCCUGCCCCAGCUCCACCAACUACACCCUCACCAUCAACAACACCGUGUACGACAGAGGCAGACUCAGCUGGAGGUGUGACUAUCAGUUUGGAGGCAGACCUAGCAGCCAACUAAACAUAAGUGUUUUAGUUCCUCUGAGCAAUGUUACCAUCACAAGAACUACAAUGUCUAUAUCCUGUGUUGCUGUCUCCAAUCCACCGCCGUCCAUAACGCUGUACAGAGACGGGGUCAGUGUGGCCACCAGCCCAGUAGCAGUGGAGGGAUACACUGGCUGGACAGCCACCAUCAACUACCAGCUGACAGGCAACAGUGGGAACUCCCUGUACUACUGCCAGGCAUCCAACACACAGACAAGUGUCAACUCCACGUAUUCCUAUCCUGACAUUGCUGUCAGCAGCGUGUCUCUCACAACCAUCCCAUCCGCCAACCAGGAAGUGGGAGCUGCUGAGGGUCAACCCUUGACCUUGACCUGUGUGACCUCUUCCAGUUACCCUGCUGCUACUGUCACGUGGUACAAGAACAGUGUUCCGUUGGCAAGUGGGAUAUCCAGUGGUCACACAUCCCAAUCAGGUGUUGUCCAGACAACAAGUACCGUGACCAUCAUCCCUGUCAGGAGUGACCUGGGCCACACAGUCUACUGUAGAGCCACCAACAUCCACACCCCCUCCCCAGUACAGUCUGACAGUGCCCGGAUGGGAGUGUGGUUCGGACCAGAGCAGGUGGAUGUGACAAAGCCAGACAACACUGUAGCUUUAGAGAACAGAAACCUGACCUUGACCUGUACGGUCACCGCUUAUCCCAACAUGACCUUCACCUGGGACUACAUUGAUGGAACACCUGUAGGUGGCAGCACAGGGCCUGUGACAGGAUCUUCUACAUGGUGGUCCCAAACCCUCACCUUCAGCCCAACUAAAGACAGGACCGCAGUGAGGUGUAAGGUCAGAAACACCAAAACAUCAGAAACCCAGACUGGUUCUGCAUCACUUGAUGUCAAGUACCCACCGCCGGCCCCUCCUUCCAUCACAGAAUUUCAGACUCUGAUGUUUGAAGGAGACCCAGAGACAAUCAGCUGCUCGGUGACAGGAGGAAAUCCUCUAGCUACUAUCACGUGGUCCUGUCCCGGCACUGGAUCAGCAUCGAUCAGUGACAGUGGUCAGACCAGGACAUCUACUCUCUCCUUCACUGUCAGCAGGAGUCAGAACAGUCAGCAGUGUCAGUGUCAGGGGGCAUGGCAACAUGGAGGAUACAACCAAUCUGAUGUCAGGACAUUCAAUGUUAGCUGUCCAAAGAGACAGCAACCACUCAAUGCCGAAUAUAACAUCACAGGUGUAAUAGCAGGAAGUACGAUAGGAACCCUCCUUCUUACCUUGCUGAUUGAAGGACUAGUUCUGACUGUCCUCUAUAGGAAGGGGUUCAGGUUUGGAAACAUUUUGAAAGGAACUGCUUCACAAAAAAGGUAGACUAAAUCACAAGGAAUCCCGAAAUAGAAGAAAUGGAAAACAUAGGAUAUUCAUCCUUGGAUCACGUCAACAGUCC
rnacentral:misc_RNA from 1 species